AAAAUGGAGAGUUUGAUCCUGGCUCAGAGUGAACGCUGGCGGCGUGCCUAAUACAUGCAAGUCGAACGGACAAGUAAGAGCUUGCUCUUAU
rnacentral:rRNA from 1 species